UGCAGUCGAGCGGAACGAGUUAUCUGAACCUUCGGGGGACGAUAACGGCGUCGAGCGGCGGACGGGUGAGUAAUGCCUAGGAAAUUGCCCUGAUGUGGGGGAUAACCAUUGGAAACGAUGGCUAAUACCGCAUAAUACCUACGGGUCAAAGAGGGGGACCUUCGGGCCUCUCGCGUCAGGAUAUGCCUAGGUGGGAUUAGCUAGUUGGUGAGGUAAUGGCUCACCAAGGCGACGAUCCCUAGCUGGUCUGAGAGGAUGAUCAGCCACACUGGAACUGAGACACGGUCCAGACUCCUACGGGAGGCAGCAGUGGGGAAUAUUGCACAAUGGGCGCAAGCCUGAUGCAGCCAUGCCGCGUGUGUGAAGAAGGCCUUCGGGUUGUAAAGCACUUUCAGUCGUGAGGAAGGUAGUGUAGUUAAUAGCUGCAUUAUUUGACGUUAGCGACAGAAGAAGCACCGGCUAACUCCGUGCCAGCAGCCGCGGUAAUACGGAGGGUGCGAGCGUUAAUCGGAAUUACUGGGCGUAAAGCGCAUGCAGGUGGUUUGUUAAGUCAGAUGUGAAAGCCCGGGGCUCAACCUCGGAAUAGCAUUUGAAACUGGCAGACUAGAGUACUGUAGAGGGGGGUAGAAUUUCAGGUGUAGCGGUGAAAUGCGUAGAGAUCUGAAGGAAUACCGGUGGCGAAGGCGGCCCCCUGGACAGAUACUGACACUCAGAUGCGAAAGCGUGGGGAGCAAACAGGAUUAGAUACCCUGGUAGUCCACGCCGUAAACGAUGUCUACUUGGAGGUUGUGGCCUUGAGCCGUGGCUUUCGGAGCUAACGCGUUAAGUAGACCGCCUGGGGGAGUACGGGUCGCAAGAUUAAAAACUCAAAUGAAAUUGACGGGGGGCCCGCACAAGCGGUGGAAGCAUGUGGGUUUAAUUUCGAUGCAACGCCGAAAAAACCUUUACCUACUCCUUGACAUCCAAGAAAAACUUUUCCAGAAAAUGGGAUUGGGUGCCUUUCGGGAAACUUCUGAGAACAGGGUGCCUGCAUGGGCUGUUCGUCAGCCUUCCGUGUUGUGAAAAUGGUUGGGG
rnacentral:rRNA from 1 species